GACGAACGCUGGCGGCGUGCUUAACACAUGCAAGUCGAGCGGUAAGGCCCUUCGGGGUACACGAGUGGCGAACGGGUGAGUAACACGUGGGUGAUCUGCCCUGCACUUCGGGAUAAGCCUGGGAAACUGGGUCUAAUACCGGAUAGGACCCUGGGAUGCAUGUCCUGGGGUGGAAAGCUUUUGCGGUGUGGGAUGGGCCCGCGGCCUAUCAGCUUGUUGGUGGGGUGAUGGCCUACCAAGGCGACGACGGGUAGCCGGCCUGAGAGGGUGACCGGCCACACUGGGACUGAUAUACGGCCCAGACUCCUACGGGAGGCAGCAGUGGGGAAUAUUGCACAAUGGGCGCAAGCCUGAUGCAGCGACGCCGCGUGAGGGAUGACGGCCUUCGGGUUGUAAACCUCUUUCAGCACCGACGAAGCGCAAGUGACGGUAGGUGCAGAAGAAGGACCGGCCAACUACGUGCCAGCCGCCGCUGUAA
rnacentral:rRNA from 1 species